UCUGACCUCCCAGGGGAAAGCACGGUACAGAAGGAGCAGAAGCACUGGGCUCUGGGUCCUACUCUCUGCUUGUUAUAGGAUGUUGGCAGGUAGAAACAUCAGAAACAAUAAGGUAUCAAAAUACCAAAGACACAGAAGGACAAUGCACAUGACAGAGGAGGGAGAAUUAGGCAGCCAGGUCAUUUGAACCGUGACGACAGAAUCCAGCAGGAAUACCUUCAAAUGCUCAGAGGAAUGAAAUAGAAUUAUAUUUCCCAUGACCUUGUCUUAAUGAAGACUCUUGGAAACUCAGAAAAACAGAUGCCUUCACUGAGAGCAAGAGGCCCUGCUUAGACACUGACUUCGGGGUCACUGUGCUGCAAAGAGCUUAAUAAGCACUGGCUAUUCUGGAAUCAACUCCCACAUGCCAAGUGCAUGAGCAUGGGCCCUUCAAAGCACCCAUUGGCUUCUGUUUCUCACUCUAUUACAUGGGCAAAUAUUGUCUCUAUUUAUUCUAUAGACAGCUUGUAUCUAAGGUGCACUUUACCCUAAAGCAGCUGGGGAUAAGCCAUGGAAAACAAGCGAGCAUGCUGCAAUCCUCCGUGAUAUCUUCUUCAGUUCCUGCCUUGGCCUCUCUGGGUGGUGGAGCAUAACCUGUGCAUCAGAUAAACCUUUCCUCCCCCAA